rnacentral:lncRNA from 1 species
CCUGGCUAUCCUGACCCCUGAUCCUGUGCCCUUUUGACUUCACGACUUUACCUCUGUGUUUACUGCGGCUGGGGACAGAAGGCGGCUGACCACUCCCUCCCGGCCUCUUGAUCUUCUGUGGGUCUGGCUUUUUGCAGGAUCAGCUCACAGCUCCUGGCUCUGCAGUGCAAACCAUCACCACACGCCCUGUGACCACCUCAGUGUCUCUACCAGCGAAAUGCGGUUGGCAGCGCUCUCCCUGUCUGCGGCAAUGCCAGAGUCUGAUGAUGGAGGGCAAGUCAGGAAGGGACAUGGGAGCCGCUCACUGUGGUCGAUUGCUGCCUCUUCCUUGGCGGACCCCAUGGCCUUGGCAUGGGAGCAUGGCGGAGUGCUGACGUCAGCAAGUCAAUGUAAGCGUUUGCAGUAUAGCCUGUGGCUGCUGAGGCGAACUUGAUGUAUUAAGCAAUAUUAAAAAUGCAUCUCUUUUUGAUAAUUUAUUAUGCACAUUCUCAUAAACACAUUCCACUCGUCACAGUACAUUUACUAACACUCGGCCUACCAGCGGGGAAAAGUUAACACGCACCUAAUGAUGUUGUUUUGCAG